GUUGGUGACAGCGGAGGGUCAUUACCGAGUUUACAACUCCCAAACCCAAUGUGAACGUUACCAAACUGUUGCCUCGGCGGGAUCUCUGCCCCGGGUGCGUCGCAGCCCCGGACCAAGGCGCCCGCCGGAGGACCAACCAAAACUCUUAUUGUAUACCCCCUCGCGGGUUUUUUACUAUCUGAGCCAUCUCGGCGCCCCUCGUGGGCGUUUCGAAAAUGAAUCAAAACUUUCAACAACGGAUCUCUUGGUUCUGGCAUCGAUGAAGAACGCAGCGAAAUGCGAUAAGUAAUGUGAAUUGCAGAAUUCAGUGAAUCAUCGAAUCUUUGAACGCACAUUGCGCCCGCCAGUAUUCUGGCGGGCAUGCCUGUCCGAGCGUCAUUUCAACCCUCGAACCCCUCCGGGGGGUCGGCGUUGGGGAUCGGCCCUUUACGGGGCCGGCCCCGAAAUACAGUGGCGGUCUCGCCGCAGCCUCUCCUGCGCAGUAGUUUGCACACUCGCAUCGGGAGCGCGGCGCGUCCACAGCCGUUAAACACCCCAAACUUCUGAAAUGUUGACCUCGGAUCAGGUAGGAAUACCCGCUGAACUUAAGCAUAUCAAUAAGCGGAGGAAAAGAAACCAACAGGGAUUGCCCCAGUAACGGCGAGUGAAGCGGCAACAGCUCAAAUUUGAAAUCUGGCCCCUCGGGGUCCGAGUUGUAAUUUGUAGAGGAUGCUUUUGGUGAGGUGCCGCCCGAGUUCCCUGGAACGGGACGCCACAGAGGGUGAGAGCCCCGUCUGGCUGGCCACCGAGCCUCUGUAAAGCUCCUUCGACGAGUCGAGUAGUUUGGGAAUGCUGCUCAAAAUGGGAGGUAUAUGUCUUCUAAAGCUAAAUAUUGGCCAGAGACCGAUAGCGCACAAGUAGAGUGAUCGAAAGAUGAAAAGCACCUUGAAAAGAGGGUUAAAUAGUACGUGAAAUUGUUGAAAGGGAAGCGCUUGUGACCAGACUUGGGCGCGGCGGAUCAUCCGGGGUUCUCUCCGGUGCACUUCGCCGCGUCUAGGCCAGCAUCAGUUCGUCGCGGGGGAAAAAGGCUUCGGGAACGUGGCUCCUCCGGGAGUGUUAUAGCCCGUUGCAUAAUACCCUGCGGUGGACUGAGGACCGCGCAUCUGCAAGGA
rnacentral:rRNA from 1 species